AGCAGUGUGGCCUAGUGGAAAAAGCACGGGCCUGGAAGUCAAAAGGAUCUGAGUUCUAAUCUCAGCUCUGCCA
rnacentral:tRNA from 1 species